UUACGGCUCUAUGCAUCGCAAAUAGAGAUCGGGUUCAAUGCGUCGGGUGUGGGAUUCACUCAAUAUUAUAUGCUGAGCGCGAAAGUUGAUAUCAUCAGACACCAUGAUGUUAUACCGGUAAACAACAUCUUGAACAUGAAUAGAGAACAGGAGUUGAUGCAGAUAUUCUGAGGAGAAUCUUCCAGUCAUUGAAAUAUAUUUCAUGAUAGUCGUGCAGAUACAGAAGUUGUGAUGGUGUGUUGAUAGGCUGUCUUCAACUUGCCAUAUCUGAGAGUUCCAACAUGCAGGCCUGGAUUAAUGUUUUAUCACAACAAAUGGAUGGGACAGUAGAGUUGUUGCGGACAAUAUGUGAUUGUGAUGACCAAGUACUGAACAAGUGGAAGAUUAGAAGAAGGUCCAGAAUUCAAUCAUGUU